AUUGAACGCUGGCGGCGGGCCUAACACAUGCAAGUCGAGCGGGGUUUUCGGACCUAGCGGCGGACGGGUGAGUAAUGCGUAGGAAGCUACCCGAUAGAGGGGGAUACCAGUUGGAAACGACUGUUAAUACCGCAUAAUGUCUACGGACCAAAGUGUGGGACCUUCGGGCCACAUGCUAUCGGAUGCGCCUACGUGGGAUUAGCUAGUUGGUGAGGUAAUGGCUCACCAAGGCGACGAUCCCUAGCUGGUUUGAGAGGAUGAUCAGCCACACUGGAACUGAGACACAGUCCAGACUCCUACGGGAGGCAGCAGUGGGGAAUAUUGGACAAUGGGCGCAAGCCUGAUCCAGCCAUGCCGCGUGUGUGAAGAAGGCCUUCGGGUUGUAAAGCACUUUCAGUAGGGAGGAAGCGUUGUGUGUUAAUAGUACACAGCGUUGACGUUACCUACAGAAGAAGCACCGGCUAACUCUGUGCCAGCCGCCGCAGUAACAC
rnacentral:rRNA from 1 species